UCUUCGUCUGAUCUUAGCCAUGAGGCGGCGCGACUGGGCAUCAUGGCGGUCUCCUUCGCUCCUUUCGUGCCAUCUCUCUCUCAAUCAUUCCCUCUUUUCUGCGUUGCAUCAUCUAUUCUUACUUAUCCUCAUCUCCGUGCCCAUUGCCCGUACAAUGUCCUCAUUGGCUCGACGGUAUCUACAAUUCAAAUAAAGCAUAUUCUUCUCAUUCGUGUUUUUCUCUCCUUUUCUUCAUCGCAUGUGUUAAUUUGGCAUGGAAAUGAUGGUAUUGUAAAAGGUCUGAGCAGGGAGAUUAUAUUGGUGGUGGGUGGUGGCAGUGCUGGAGGUUUAGGCGAAAUCGAAGCGAAGAAGAGGGCCCCUGUCACUGCAGAAGUCAUGGCACUGUGACUCUCGCAACCUCUUCGAUAUCAAAAUCAUGCCUUGUUUACACUUGGCGAAUGGGUUGGAUCAAAAGGCGUGGGUUGCAUUCUAGCAUGGAAUGCUAACCUAGAAUUCUCCCGACAAUUAUUUGCUUGCCUUAACUUCAAGCACUGUACUGCCACACUGCUUCCUGCAUUGAUCAAAACCUUCAAUCUGAUCCUGCCACGUUUGGUCGGUGAUCUUGGUUACCUUAAUUUUCCAAUUUUAAACACGUAUCCUUUGUAAUUUUUUUUGAAGUUUAUUGUUUAUUUGCUCUUGUAGACAAAUUUUAAAUUUUACAUUAGUUUGCAAAGUUACAAUUCUGAUUUGCAAAGAUCACUCAGAUACUGGCUUCUCCGAUUAUAGAUCAUUGAGUGUUGAAUAUGGUGGCAGUAGUUUGCUUUAUGAAUAAUGAUAUGACGGCGUCCACGUCCUUGAGAGGAGCUGGUCUGGACGCCGCAGGGCAAUGCAAAUAUAACUUGGGUAUCUGACGAUGUGAUGGGAUUGGAUUGAAUUGGAUUUGUUUUGAUAUUGAUGUAUUAGUUAAAAUAGUGAAGAUAGAUAACUAUAAGCAUGCUGGCCUCAUCUUUUGGCUAAAUGAAACUUAUUCUUGGAGAGACUCAAUUGAUGAGUUUGGCUUGGUGAUUCUGUUAUAUGUUUCAUACUUCAAAGAACUGCUAAUUUCAUCGAGUUUCUGCCAACUGCCCGAGGCAGGUGGAAGUACACAAUUAUUCCAGUUGUCUCUGGGGUCAGGUCUGGACAAUAAUUCCACCUUUAAAAUGAUUUAUUGAAGUAAUUUAUGUUCUGUGUCUCUGACUUUCUGUAAGGAUCUCUUGACUUUAUGGCAUGUGUGAAAUAUUCUUGAAGCUUUGUUUCAAAUGGUGGUUCUCUGUGCAACUCCUGCAUCACCUUUUGCGUUAUCUCGAAGGAGUUUGGAUUGUAUUAUACAAGAACUUAAAGCUUUGCUUCAAUUAUGGUAUUAUGUGCAUAUUGAGUAAUAUAACCUGUUGAUUGGAUUUGGACCAGCGGCUAAAGCCCUGAGAAUAUUUACACAUUGAGUUGCACUGCACAGUUGACGAUACAUAGUAGUUGGAAACUGUUGGGACCCAUUCCAGUUUAUAGUAUUGUAGUCUUACAUCUGAAGCAUUGGACUCUGAUGUGGGGUUUUACGGGGACUUUGAAGUCUCCAAUCUUAGGAACUAACAUUUAGGCUGUGGUUGUCCCAAGUUGCUUUCAGAAACACUAACAUAUUAUAAGUUAGUUUUUAUUUCGUGGUAAUUUUAUUUGAUAUUUGAUAUUAAAUGAAAGCUGACAUUGAUGCUGAGCUAGUGAAAGAAAAAAACGUCAUUAUUUUAAGUGAUUUGUUUGGGCAAAAAUAUUUAAUCAUGCACUACUGAAGUCGUUUUUAUCCUGAACCCUUGCUUGUCAUUAAAACUGAUGUGGAUGAUAGCUCAUCCCAACUGUUCAGCCGAAAACCUUCAUGAUGCUCUUUUCACAUUGAUAGCACUGAUUUCGUUUAUUCUAUGACUACUUGCGAGAACCUGACCCUGUGACCCUAACAGGGAAAUUCUCUAAAACACACGAGGAGUGCGGAAGCAUUGCCGCAUUAUUUGGACCACAAAGAUGGAGUAUUGAAUUUAGAACUAUGGAUUCAGACCUAUCAUAUGCUGGAUCAGCAUCUUUGUCUCCCACUAAAAGAAUUGGUUAAAACCUAAUCCCAAUCUGGUCUGGCGUGUUGGGAAGUGCAUGUUGACGGUGGCUUGGAGGAACUCACCGCAUGGCGCGUUUCACUUCCACCGCGGUAAAGGUUCAUUGAAUUCUACUGCUACCAUCACUUUAACUGUCUUUGGUAAGGGUUCAUCUUUGAUGUGAUAAUGCCUUGAUGCUACCUUAAGUGUUUUAGUUGACCGGUGAAUGAACAUGCGACAAUUCUCUCGAUGCUACCUGGCUGCACCUUUGUGACCCACCGAUGAUGACAGAUCUCCUAUUGGAAGGCCCCGUCCCGUUCAGAAGCAAUUUGGAUUUGCAGACACUAAAUUGAGUUUUUAGAGAGCACUUUUCAGCACCUAAUAUUUCUAAAGAUUAAUGAUUAGAUCAUAAACUAUUAUAUGAAUAGUAUUUUGGAUUUUAAACUUUUAUAAUGUGCAAAAACAUCCAUCAACUUUUAAAUUUUGGAUGCUUGGCUGCAUGUUUGGAUAGGAGAUUUAAUUGAUUUUGGAGGUUUAGAGUA